UGGUAUUGAUUGGUGCUUGCAUCAUGAUUUACAUUUGAGUGAGUGGCGAACUGGUGAGUAACACGUGGGAAACCUGCCCAGAAGCGGGGGAUAACACCUGGAAACAGAUGCUAAUACCGCAUAACAACUUGGACCGCAUGGUCCGAGCUUGAAAGAUGGCUUCGGCUAUCACUUUUGGAUGGUCCCGCGGCGUAUUAGCUAGAUGGUGGGGUAACGGCUCACCAUGGCAAUGAUACGUAGCCGACCUGAGAGGGUAAUCGGCCACAUUGGGACUGAGACACGGCCCAAACUCCUACGGGAGGCAGCAGUAGGGAAUCUUCCACAAUGGACGAAAGUCUGAUGGAGCAACGCCGCGUGAGUGAAGAAGGGUUUCGGCUCGUAAAACUCUGUUGUUAAAGAAGAACAUAUCUGAGAGUAACUGUUCAGGUAUUGACGGUAUUUAACCAGAAAGCCACGGCUAACUACGUGCCAGCAGCCGCGGUAAUACGUAGGUGGCAAGCGUUGUCCGGAUUUAUUGGGCGUAAAGCGAGCGCAGGCGGUUUUUUAAGUCUGAUGUGAAAGCCUUCGGCUCAACCGAAGAAGUGCAUCGGAAACUGGGAAACUUGAGUGCAGAAGAGGACAGUGGAACUCCAUGUGUAGCGGUGAAAUGCGUAGAUAUAUGGAAGAACACCAGUGGCGAAAGCGGCUGUCUGGUCUGUAACUGACGCUGAGGCUCGAAAGUAUGGGUAGCAAACAGGAUUAGAUACCCUGGUAGUCCAUACCGUAAACGAUGAAUGCUAAGUGUUGGAGGGUUUCCGCCCUUCAGUGCUGCAGCUAACGCAUUAAGCAUUCCGCCUGGGGAGUACGGCCGCAAGGCUGAAACUCAAAGGAAUUGACGGGGGCCCGCACAAGCGGUGGAGCAUGUGGUUUAAUUCGAAGCUACGCGAAGAACCUUACCAGGUCUUGACAUACUAUGCAAAUCUAAGAGAUUAGACGUUCCCUUCGGGGACAUGGAUACAGGUGGUGCAUGGUUGUCGUCAGCUCGUGUCGUGAGAUGUUGGGUUAAGUCCCGCAACGAGCGCAACCCUUAUUAUCAGUUGCCAGCAUUAAGUUGGGCACUCUGGUGAGACUGCCGGUGACAAACCGGAGGAAGGUGGGGAUGACGUCAAAUCAUCAUGCCCCUUAUGACCUGGGCUACACACGUGCUACAAUGGAUGGUACAACGAGUUGCGAACUCGCGAGAGUAAGCUAAUCUCUUAAAGCCAUUCUCAGUUCGGAUUGUAGGCUGCAACUCGCCUACAUGAAGUCGGAAUCGCUAGUAAUCGCGGAUCAGCAUGCCGCGGUGAAUACGUUCCCGGGCCUUGUACACACCGCCCGUCACACCAUGAGAGUUUGUAACACCCAAAGUCGGUGGGGUAACCUUUUAGGAACC
rnacentral:rRNA from 2 species